ACAAAGGUGUAUAGAAUUGCCAAUCUCCUGGAAGUACCUAAAGCCAUUAUUGUCGGGAUGGAGAGGAAUCCAUAAGAGGCAGAACUUUUCUGGUGAAACAGUCUCUCAAUGGAAAAUCAAGUGGAGAAUUGAAGAGUGAGCCAGAUCUGUUUGUAGAGUUGUGAUUAAACCUGUAUGACUAGUAAGAGGAAAAAAAGUCACAUGACCUGUAUUAAAAGAGUACACAGAAGGAAUUGACAUUUUCUUCCCAUUAGCUGGCAAAGAAUGAUAAAUGUCAACCAAUUUUUCUGUAUUGACCCUGUGUUCCAGGAAUCAGAUGAAGAAAAAAUUUUUUCAGUCCAACCUAUAUAUCAACUGCUAUUUUGUUCAUAGAAUGAUGGGGGUUGAUCCUGCAAUACACAGAAUUAAGAAAACUUCAAGUUGAUGUCCAGUUCACUCUUUAUAUUUAUCAGGAGGACGGCCCCAUCCGCGUCAGCACUGCUCCUGCUCUAGACGCCCCGGAACCUUCAGCAGCUGCUGCAGGGCGGCUGGAAUCAGACUCGCCACCUGCACGGUCGAGGGCAGGACCCCCAGGAGCGCCACUGGACCCAUCUCUUACACAGGCUGACUGAUUUCUCCUGGUGUUCAGAGUCUGUUUUUGUCUAGCACCAUUUGAAAUCGGUUAUGAUGUAGGGGGAAAAGCAGCAGCCUCAAAGCCUCAUGCCAACCCUGGUGAGCAAGCGCCUGUCUCCUGGAGGACGGAUGGGCAGAGAGUGGGGAAGGACCAUCUCGCGCUUUUUUCACUAACUUCUUUAACUGCAUUUAUGAUGCCUUAUUGCAGAGGUAAGAGAGAACUGAAUGUAUUUUGAAAAACAAAUGGCCAUAAUGCAUCUGAUGUCCCGGGUUGCAUGUUGCCGAAACGUGGCAGGUGCUGCAUGUGCUGUCAGCGGUUGCUGUUGAAUCAUCUUUCCGUGAAGAGUCUGUUCGUGCCUCCUGACCUGAAUAAAUGCUUCACUCUACUCAAUUAAUCAUGUCUUUGUUUUUCAUCUGUCAUUUCCUAUUCAUAAUUCCAUGAUAAGCGGGGUCCUGAAAAGGUGACUUGAGAUGUAGAUUUACCCACUUCCUAAGCAUUUGAGAAGCCAGCCCGUUAGGACAAGAAUGGAAUUCUGUGAGCCAAGAAACAUACAUGAGAGAAAAGAUCACAGAAAAGAGAGAUGUUCAAGCCCGGGCCAAGGGAUGCUGCUUAUGGAAGGGGAAACUGAGGCUGGUUCCAAAUGGACUGGAGCCCUGGCACCUCUGCGGUCCGUGAUCCUUUGAGAAAUGUGGUUGAACCGAACCCACUGUCACAUGGCUGGUAAAGGAGAGCAGCCUGAGGAUUUCCCUUACUUCAUAAAAGAUGCCGGAGGUCUACUUGUGGUUCAUAGUUUCUAUGAACCCUGAAGACCAGGGCGGACCAGUUCUGGAAAGGAAUCACAGCAAGGACAGGAACCUCUGAAUAAUGACCAAGUUGGAAGGACUUCAGGAAUGUCAAAUGCCUGGAGACUCCACAGGAGGGCAGCAGUGCUACGCGGUGGAAAGACUGACCACUUCAGUCCAGUGCAACCUUUUCUGAUGAAGCUGGAAAUGAGGAAAGCAACAUUCCCUAGGUGGGGAAACAACAACAAAAACCGUGUGCACGGGUACUCAGUUUUGCAUCCUUGCUGGAAGUCAGUAGACUAUGUUAAACCCUGGUCUAUGCAAACGCGUAAAGUACGCAAAGAAGUUCAUUCUUGGUUGCAGCUAGCUGUCAGGAAUUACUAAAGUUUAGAAUACUGGAGUUGCCUAUUUUCCUUAAACCAAGAAUAUUCUUUAACAAUACAAUUCCAGCCUCUCCCGUGUUUCUUUGGCAUUCCCACAGAAUACUUUUUAUUAUUAGAAACCUUAAACUCUUGGGGCUCCUGGGUAGCUCAGUUGGUAAGCGUCUGCCUUCGGUUCAGGUCAUGGUCCCAAGGUCCUGGGAUUGAGCCCCGCAUGCGGCUCCCUGCUCGCGGGAAGCCUGCUUCUCCCUCUCCCACUCCCCCUGCUUCUGUUCCCUCUCUCGCUGUGUCUCUGUCAAAUAAAUUAAAUAAAUAAAUUGAAACUUUAGACUCUCCCUGUAUAUUUGAUGCCAAGUUAUAAAAAUAUGCUAUAGUUUAAAGCCCAAUAAAAUGUUUUCCU